AUCGCUUCUCGGCCUUUUGGCUAAGAUCAAGUGUAGUACCUGUUCUUAUCAGUUUAAUAUCUGAUACAUCCUCUAUCCAAAAUGCAGAUUUUCCAUGUACUGUAAAAAAAAAAAGUUUGCAUAAAAUCAGGUUGAUAGGGCCCAGUCUGAGAGCCUAGUGGCUAAAUCCUUGCCUUGCGUCCACUGGAAUAUCA